rnacentral:rRNA from 1 species
UACGAAGGGGGCAAGCGAUGUUCGGAUUUACUGGGCGUAAAGGGCGCGUAGGCGGAUCUGCAAGUCAGAGGUGCAAGCCCUGGGCUCAACCCGGGAAUGGCCUUUGAGACUGCAAGUCUUGAGUGCGAGAGAGGGUGGCGGAAUACCCAGUGUAGAGGUGAAAGUCGUAGAUAUUGGGUAGAACACCGGUGGCGAAGGCGGCCACCUGGCUCGCAACUGACGCUGAGGCGCGAAAGCGUGGGGAGCAAACAGG